CUCCUCAUCUGCAAUACAACUAUACAUUAACGCCUUUACAGUCAGACUCCUCAUAUGCAAUACAACUAUACAUUAACCAAGUUUCUGCCUUUUCCAUUAGGCAGACAUUAUUUGAUCACUCACCACAUAUCACUUCGCAAGAAAGAAACUCAGAUUCAUAAGCCUAUAUAAAAUAUAUUCCAAGCUCAUCUCCUUCAACAAUUCAACAACAAAUGAACACCCCUCUCAUUCAACGUUUCAACAGCAAACGAUCAGCCCUCUCAUUCAAGGCUUUGUAACCAGGGGGAUUAGCGCUGCUUUCCCAAGACAGGUUUAUAUGUGAUUAUGAUCUUCAGGCUUUGCCUAACCAGGUUGAGCAGCUGAUGGAAUGGAAUGAUGUUGAGCGGGUGUUCCUUUGACAUUUCAAGAAAUGUAACCUUGAGUAUACAUCUUCAUAUGUAUAUCUCACACGUUUUCCGCUGCAAAACACUUUGAUUAGGAUAACUCUAAGUUGUGAAGUUGUUACACAUGUUAUUGGGUAACCCACCUUAAUCAGUUCUCUUUUAUGUGUAUGUUUUAUAAGUAUCCAAAUGAUCAUAUAUGAUCCUAGCUUUUUAUCUAUAAGUGACAUUUCCAUAUACUUUAAUGUUAAGUAAUUGUCCAUAUCCGUUAUCACUUAUUAAUUAUCAUCCCAAGUCAUAAUCCCGGCUAAAUUGUCAUUAAGGGUAGC